rnacentral:lncRNA from 1 species
AAAAAAAAAAAAAAAAAAAAAAAACGCAGCAAAGUGCAGAUGCUCUAUCAAAUUAUUUUAUGAUUUUUACUAUUCCAAACAUCCAAUCUUCUUUUUUUUUUAAGAGAGAGAACGGUAGCAUACUACCGACUUCGUUUAUUUUUUUAGAAAACAGCAAUUAUACUUCAAACUUAGAAUUUCGAAUACCAAUCAUCAAGUUCUUUACUAUUUGCGUUAGGCACGAUCUGUCCAAUCAUCCAAUCUUGAGGCAAAUAAUUUUGCAGUUUCA